ACCUGGGUGGCUCAGUUGGUUGAGCAUCUGACUCUUGGUUUGGGUUCAGGUCAUGAUCUCAUGGUUUAUGGGUUCGAGCCCCAUGUCAGGCC
rnacentral:tRNA from 1 species